UUGCGCCCGUAUCACUUUGAAACACCGAUUCUCGUACGAUCACCGAAGUUAAGCAACGUUGAACCUGGUCAGUAUCUAAAUGGGUGAUCGCUGGGGUAUGCCAGGUGCUAUAA